GUUGAAAUACCGGUUCCUGUACGAUCACCGAAGUUAAGCAACGUUUAGCCUUGUUAGUAUCUAGAUGGGUGACCUCUUGGAAAGAAUA